rnacentral:tRNA from 1 species
UGAAUAGUAGCUUAAGAUAAAGCGUCUAGUUGUUAGUUAGAGAGAAGUAAAAGUUAGUUACCUAUUUAG